GUUCCUGUAGCUCAGCCGGAUAGAGCAAUCGCCUCCUAAGCGAUAGGCCGUGGGUUCGAAUCCCGCCGGGAACACCA
rnacentral:tRNA from 1 species